rnacentral:rRNA from 1 species
AUGGACCUCGCGACGGGGGCCAUGGGCAGCCUGCUCCUCAAGCUUGGCCAACUCCUCACGGAGGAGUACAAGCUGCAGACAGGCGUCAAGGAAGAUGUUGAGUAUCUCAAGAGAGAGCUGGAAAGCAUGUAUGCUGCCCUCCGCAAGGUGGGGGGCGUGCCGCGAGACCAGCUCGACGAGCAGGUCAAGCUCUGGGCGAACGAAGUCAGGGACUUGUCGUUCAUAAUGGAGGACAUCGUCGACAAGUUCUUGGUGCGCGUCGAGGGAGCUGAGCCAGCCAUCAAGCCACACAAACUCAAGAAGCUCGUGAAGAAGAUGGGAAACUUGUUCAGCAAGAGCAAGACCCGCCGUGAGAUCUCGGAUGGGAUCAAAGACAUCAAGGUCCGCGUCAAGGAGGCGGCUGACCGACGUGAUAGGUACCGGGUCAACGGCAUGGCUGCUAAUCCAGUUGAUGCAAUCACUAUUGACCCUCGCCUAGUGGAUCUGUACAAGGACCAGAAAGAGCUCAUUGGUAUUGAUGAUUCAUUGAAUGAGCUAACCAAGAUAAUGAGUGAUGGGGAUGGUGAUGCGUCCAAGCAACUCAAGAUACUCUCUAUUUACCGAAAAAGGGUUUCCCCCCGCUUUGUAUACAAAGCAACCAACCGAACCAUACAGAGAUAG